CUCGCACCGCACGCGCGCACCCUCUCCCCUCUCCCCUCUCCCCUCUCCAUCCUCGCAUGUGUGUGUGUCCUCUCCCCUUUCGGCUCCCUCCAUCACGCCCCUCUUCCCAACCGCUCUCCCCGCUCCCUUCGCCGCCGCCUCCUCUGCUCGCGCGCCUCCGCCCGUCGCGCCGAUCCACGCCGCCACCGACAACGAUCUCCUCCGCGCUGCCCCUCCGCCCAUUGCAACGAUAUCGCACCGCCCUCCGUGCAUCCCCUAACUUGCGCCCCCAUCCCUCCCUUCACCAUCGGUGGCCGCCUCCCCUUCCAACCUCGCCGCCCUGCGAUUCCCCUAAGCGCUGCGCGUUCUCAUCCCUCCCCUCACCAUUUCCUUCGAACCUCUCCGGCCAUCCGCCCUCAUCCCUCCCCUCACUAUCCCCUUCCAACCUCGCCGGCCAUCCACCCGUUGCCCCCUGCCCGUCGGAGAUCGACGGCCGCCGGUUUCACUAACCGCCACAAUCAACCCCAUACCUGAGCCGAGAUUAUUUGUAUUUUGCGGGAGGAUCCUGGGAGCAAUUUAAAUCAAUGCAUAGUAUUUGAUUUUGACCAAAUCCACUAUAGUGAUGGCAGAUGAACAGUGAUACUACUUCAACAUCAGAAAAUUUCUGGGCAACGCUGGUGCCAACAUCAGCUACCCGCCGCAAACGCCUCUGGAUCUCGCAUCCCACCACGUCGAGGCAGGGUCGGUUAGGCCGGCAAAACAUUGACAGCAUCGCCCAACACUCACCACAGACAAUGAGAACAAAAGUAAGGAACUGUCUAAACAGACUGCAACAUACACAAAAAAAAUAUUGUGUAUAGUGAGGUUCUCACAAAAUAGUCAAGGUAUAUUAUGUUACUAAUUAACCAAUCUGAUGCUUGCUUACGAUCCUUCUUUUUGUAAUUAUUCUUAUUAUACGUUAUAUGUAACAUUUCGUGUUUUUUUAUU